UACGGGGGGGGCAAGCGUUGUUCGGAAUUACUGGGCGUAAAGGGCUCGUAGGUGGCCAAUUAAGUCAGACGUGAAAUCCCCAGGCUCAACUUGGGAACUGCGUCCGAUACUGGUUGGCUUGAAUUCGGGAGAGGGAUGCAGAAUUCCAGGUGUAGCGGUGAAAUGCGUAGAUAUCUGGAGGAAUACCGGUGGCGAAGGCGGCAUCCUGGACCGAGAUUGACACUGAUGAGCGAAAGCCAGGGGAGCAAACGGG
rnacentral:rRNA from 1 species